rnacentral:rRNA from 1 species
UCCUUGUCGGGUAAGUUCCGACCUGCACGAAUGGCGUAAUGAUGGCCAGGCUGUCUCCACCCGAGACUCAGUGAAAUUGAACUCGCUGUGAAGAUGCAGUGUACCCGCGGCAAGACGGAAAGACCCCGUGAACCUUUACUAUAGCUUGACACUGAACAUUGAGCAUUGAUGUGUAGGAUAGGUGGGAGGCUUUGAAGUGUGGACGCCAGUCUGCAUGGAGCCGACCUUGAAAUACCACCCUUUAAUGUUUGAUGUUCUAACGUUGACCCGUAAUCCGGGUUGCGGACAGUGUCUGGUGGGUAGUUUGACUGGGGCGGUCUCCUCCUAAA